GACGAACGCUGGCGGCGUGCUUAACACAUGCAAGUCGAACGAAGAGCGAUGGAAGCUUGCUUCUAUCAAUCUUAGUGGCGAACGGGUGAGUAACGCGUAAUCAACCUGCCCUUCAGAGGGGGACAACAGUUGGAAACGACUGCUAAUACCGCAUACGAUCUAAUCUCGGCAUCGAGGAUAGAUGAAAGGUGGCCUCUACAUGUAAGCUAUCACUGAAGGAGGGGAUUGCGUCUGAUUAGCUAGUUGGAGGGGUAACGGCCCACCAAGGCGAUGAUCAGUAGCCGGUCUGAGAGGAUGAACGGCCACAUUGGGACUGAGACACGGCCCAGACUCCUACGGGAGGCAGCAGUGGGGAAUCUUCCGCAAUGGACGAAAGUCUGACGGAGCAACGCCGCGUGAGUGAUGACGGCCUUCGGGCUGUAAAGCUCUGUUAAUCGGGACGAAAGGCCUUCUUGCGAAUAGUGAGAAGGAUUGACGGUACCGGAAUAGAAAGCCACGGCUAACUACGUG
rnacentral:rRNA from 1 species